GACGAACGCUGGCGGCGUGCUUAACACAUGCAAGUCGAACGAAGUGGCGAACGGGUGCGUAAUACGUGGGUAACCUGCCCUCCUUUUUGGGAUAAACCUUGGAAACGGGGUCUAAUACCGAAUACAGUGGGAGGGGCUCGGGGCAUAUCAGCUUGUUGGUGGGGGGAUGGCUUACCAAGGCGGUGACGGGUAGCCCGCCUGAGAGGGUGACCGGCCACAUUGGGACUGUGAAACGGCCCAGACUCGUACGGGGGGGAGCAGUGGGGGAUAUUGCCCAAUGGGUGAAAGCCUGAUGCAGCGACGCCGCGGGGGGGAUGAAGGCUUUCGGGUUGUAAACCUCUUUCGCUAUAGAACGGGUAGGUGGAGAAGAAGCGCCGGCUAACUACGUGCCAGCAGCCGCGGUAAUUC
rnacentral:rRNA from 1 species